rnacentral:rRNA from 1 species
UACGUAGGGACCGAGCGUUGUCCGGAAUCAUUGGGCGUAAAGAGCGUGUAGGCGGCUUGCUAAGUCUUGCGUGAAAUCUCGGGGCUCAACCCCGAGCGGUCGUGGGAAACUGGCAGGCUAGAGUGCGGGAGAGGAGAAUGGAAUUCCUGGUGUAGCGGUGAAAUGCGCAGAUAUCAGGAAGAACACCCGUGGCGAAGGCGGUUCUCUGGAACGCAACUGACGCUGAGGAGCGAAAGCGUGGGGAGCGAACAGG